CAAAGGUCAAGGUCACGGUGACCCAAAAUAGUAAAAUGGUUUCUGGAUGAUAACUGAAGAACGCUUAUGGCUAGGAUCAUGAAACUUCAUAGGUACAUUGAUCAUGACUGGUAGAUGACCCCUAUAGAUUUUCAAGUCACUAGGUCAAAGGUCAAGGUCACAGUGACUAAAAACAUAUUCACAAAAUGGCUGUCACAACAAUGGAGAGCCCAUAUGGGGGGCAUGCAUGUUUUACAAACAGCCCUUGUUAUCUCUAAUUAUGCAUAAAGAACAAUAUUGAAAUCACCUCCAACUAAAAUGUUUUUAUCUUUCUGUUAUUUAUUUUUGUGGAAUGUAAUGUUUCAUAAAAUUUGGAUUCAUCUUUAUUCAGGCCGUACACGUUUAUUAAUGUUAAUUGUGUUUCAUGUAUUAUUAUCCCCCGCCAGAGGCGGAGGGAUAUUGUUUUGGUGUUGUCCGUCCGUCCAGCUGUCCGUCCGUUGGGCACUUUUGAGCCAUAUCUUGGAAGUGCUUUGGCGGAUUUCAUUGAAACUUCGUAUGAGUAUAUAUAUAUAUAUAUAUGCAUAAAAGGAUGAUGCACGCCAAAUGGCAUGUACACCAUCUGUUAAAAACAGAGUUAUGGCCCUUUAUAUCUUGGAAAAAUGCUUUUUACUAUAGGCACUUUUGUGUCCGGAGCCAUAUCUUGGAAGUGCUUUGGCGGAUUUCAUUGAAACUUGGUAUGAGUAUAUAUAUGCAUAAGAGGAUGAUGCACGCCAAAUGGCAUUGUAUACCAUCUAUCUGUUAAAAACAGAGUUAUGGCCCUUUGUAUCUUGAAAAAAUGCUUUUUACCAUAGGUACUUUUGUGUCCGGAGCCAUAUCUUGGAAGUGCUUUGGCGGUUUUCAUUGAAACUUGGUAUGAGUAUAUAUAUGGAUAAGAGGAUGAUGCACGCCAAAUGGCAUUGUACACCAUCUGUUAAUAACGGAGUUAUGGCCCUUUGUAUCUUGAAAAAAUGCAUUUGUUUGCGUGUCGGCAGCCAUAUCUUGAAAGUGCUUUGGCGGAUUUCAUUGAAACUUGGAAUGAGUAUAUAUAUUCAUAAGAUAAUAAUGCACGCCAAAUGGCAUUGUAUAUUAUCUGUUGAUAAUGGAGUUAUGGCCUUUAAAUCUUGAAAAAAUGCUUUUUUGAGUGUCAAAUAUAACACUUUUGUGUCCAGCAGCAUAUUGGCGGGGGAUAUCAAUUCACUGAAUUUGCUUGUUAUAUCUAUACUUGCUUGUCUGCCAAUCAUUAUUUCUUUCAAGUUAUCCACUGUUAUUCCUGUAUUACUUUUGAUCAGUAAAGUAAUGCCUUGUUUAUUUGUAUGUUGUCCGCUAAGAUAAAUAUCUCCGUCCCAUGCUUUUUUUCAAUGUUUGUGCGAAGGUUUGUGUGAUGUGAUUUUCCUGUAAAAGACUUUUUUUCGUCUACCCAUUUGAAAAUUUAAGUGUGUUUGUCUUUGUUAUUUAGCCCUUUUACAUUUAGAGUACAUAUGUUAAUAUUCAUACAAAAGGAGGAGAAAUACAUGCCACUUUUCUUGUUUCUAACAUUUUAAAAUCAUUUUGUAGAGCUAGAUUAUUUGUUAAUACUAAAUUAUGCAAAAUUAUAUUACGCUUUGACGUUAAAAACAAUAACCUUCCAUGUCCUACAGGUUGUUGAUACAUUCUGUUCAUUAAAUUGAUCUACGUA